GGAGAGAUGGCUGAGCUGGCUGAAGGCGCACGACUGGAAAUCGUGUUUGCGUUGAUAGCGUAACGAGGGUUCGAAUCCCUCUCUCUCCGCCA
rnacentral:tRNA from 1 species